GACGAACGCUGGCGGCGUGCUUAACACAUGCAAGUCGAACGAAGUGGCGAACGGGUGAGUAACGCGUAAUCAACCUGCCCUUCAGAGGGGGACAACAGUUGGAAACGACUGCUAAUACCGCAUACUGAAGGAGGGGAUUGCGUCUGGUUAGCUAGUUGGAGGGGUAACGGCCCACCAAGGCGAUGGUCAGUAGUCGAUCUGUGAGGAUGACGGGCAGCAUUGUGACUGAGACACGGCCCAGACUCCUACGGGAGGCAGCAGGGGGGAAUCGUCCGCAAUGGACGAAAGUCUGACGGAGCAACGCCGCGUGAGGGAUGACGGCCUUCGGGUUGUAAAGCUCUGUUAAUCGGGACGCGGUACCGGGAUGGAAAGCCACGGCUAACUACGUGCCAGCAGCCGCGGUAAUUC
rnacentral:rRNA from 1 species